GGAGGGGUGGCAGAGCGGUCGAAUGCGGCGGUCUCGAAAACCGUUAUCCAUGCAAAUGGAUCGGAGGUUCAAAUCCUCUCCCCUCCG
rnacentral:tRNA from 1 species